rnacentral:rRNA from 1 species
GCAUCACGCCGCGUGAGUGAAGAAGGCCUUUGGGUUGUAAAGCUCUUUCGGCAGGGAAGAAGGGUGUACCGUAAACAAUUGUAGCAUUUGACUGUACCUGAAGAAGAGGCACCGGCUAACUCCGUGCCAGCAGCCGCGGUAAUACGGAGGGUGCAAGCGUUGUUCGGAAUUACUGGGCGUAAAGGACGCGUAGGCGGGCGUGAAAGUCGAUUGUGAAAGCCCCGGGCUUAACCUGGGAAUGGCAGUCGAUACUCCACGUCUUGAGUGCUUGAGAGGGUGCUGGAAUUCCUGGUGUAGAGGUGAAAUUCGUAGAUAUCAGGAGGAACACCGGAGGCGAAGGCGGGCACCUGGCGAGACACUGACGCUGAAGCGUGAAAGUGCGGGGAUCAAACAGGAUUAGAUACCCUGGUAGUCCGCACCGUAAACUAUGGACACUAGAUGUUCGGGGAGUUAACCCCCCUGAGUAUCGAAGCUAACGCAUUAAGUGUCCCGCCUGGGGAGUACGGCCGCAAGGCUAAAACUCAAAGGAAUUGACGGGGGCCCGCACAAGCGGUGGAGUAUGUGGUUCAAUUCGAAGCAACGCGAAGAAACUUACCUGGGUUUGA